ACACUCCUACGGGAGGCAGCAGUGGGGAAUAUUGCACAAUGGGCGCAAGCCUGAUGCAGCCAUGCCGCGUGUAUGAAGAAGGCCUUCGGGUUGUAAAGUACUUUCAGCGGGGAGGAAGGCGAUAAGGUUAAUAACCUUGUCGAUUGACGUUACCCGCAGAAGAAGCACCGGCUAACUCCGUGCCAGCAGCCGCGGUAAUACGGAGGGUGCAAGCGUUAAUCGGAAUUACUGGGCGUAAAGCGCACGCAGGCGGUCUGUCAAGUCGGAUGUGAAAUCCCCGGGCUCAACCUGGGAACUGCAUUCGAAACUGGCAGGCUAGAGUCUUGUAGAGGGGGGUAGAAUUCCAGGUGUAGCGGUGAAAUGCGUAGAGAUCUGGAGGAAUACCGGUGGCGAAGGCGGCCCCCUGUACAAAGACUGACGCUCAGGUGCGAAAGCGUGGGGAGCAAACAGGAUUAGAUACCCGAGUAGUCCCAUGA
rnacentral:rRNA from 1 species